rfam:Arabidopsis thaliana chromosome 2, complete sequence.
GACAUGGACGAUCUGAGUAUCCGAAAUUGUAAACGUCGAUGGAUGAAAAUCUACAUUUGAGAUGUUGUUCGUUAGAGAAGAUCUCAUCUUUGCGCAGAAAGAGAGAAGCA